rnacentral:rRNA from 1 species
CCUACGGGUGGCAGCAGUGAGGAAUAUUGGUCAAUGGACGAGAGUCUGAACCAGCCAAGUAGCGUGAAGGAUGACUGCCCUAUGGGUUGUAAACUUCUUUUAUAAAGGAAUAAAACGAGGCACGUGUGCCUGUUUGCAUGUACUUUAUGAAUAAGGAUCGGCUAACUCCGUGCCAGCAGCCGCGGUAAUACGGAGGGUCCGAGCGUUAUCCGGAUUUAUUGGGUUUAAAGGGAGCGUAGGUGGGUUGUUAAGUCAGUUGUGAAAGUUUGCGGCUCAACCGUAACAUUGCAGUUGAUACUGGCGGUCUUGAGUGCAGGUGAGGUAAGCGGAAUUCGUGGUGUAGCGGUGAAAUGCUUAGAUAUCACGCAGAACCCCGAUUGCGAAGGCAGCUUACUAAACUGUGACUGACAUUGAUGCUCGAAAGUGUGGGUAUCGAACAGGAUUAGAUACCCUUGUAGUC